rnacentral:rRNA from 1 species
CCUUCGGGGAACGAUAACGGCGUCGAGCGGCGGACGGGUGAGUAAUGCCUAGGAAAUUGCCUUGAUGUGGGGGAUAACCAUUGGAAACGAUGGCUAAUACCGCAUAAUGCCUACGGGCCAAAGAGGGGGACCUUCGGGCCUCUCGCGUCAAGAUAUGCCUAGGUGGGAUUAGCUAGUUGGUGAGGUAAUGGCUCACCAAGGCGACGAUCCCUAGCUGGUCUGAGAGGAUGAUCAGCCACACUGGAACUGAGACACGGUCCAGACUCCUACGGGAGGCAGCAGUGGGGAAUAUUGCACAAUGGGCGAAAGCCUGAUGCAGCCAUGCCGCGUGUAUGAAGAAGGCCUUCGGGUUGUAAAGUACUUUCAGUUGUGAGGAAGGGGGUGUCGUUAAUAGCGGCAUCUCUUGACGUUAGCAACAGAAGAAGCACCGGCUAACUCCGUGCCAGCAGCCGCGGUAAUACGGAGGGUGCGAGCGUUAAUCGGAAUUACUGGGCGUAAAGCGCAUGCAGGUGGUUCAUUAAGUCAGAUGUGAAAGCCCGGGGCUCAACCUCGGAACUGCAUUUGAAACUGGUGAACUAGAGUACUGUAGAGGGGGGUAGAA